UAAGGAAUAUUGGACAAUGGAGGCAACUCUGAUCCAGCCAUGCCGCGUGAAGGAAUAAGGCCCUAUGGGUUGUAAACUUCUUUUAGACGGGACAAAACCCCUUUACGUGUAAAGGGUUGAUGGUACUGUCAGAAUAAGCAUCGGCUAACUUCGUGCCAGCAGCCGCGGUAAUACGAAGGAUGCAAGCGUUAUCCGGAAUUAUUGGGUUUAAAGGGUGCGUAGGCGGACUAAUAAGUCAGUGGUGAAAGCCUGCAGCUUAACUGCAGAAUUGCCAUUGAUACUGUUAGUCUUGAGUACAGUUGAGGUAGGCGGAAUGUGUCAUGUAGCGGCGAAAUGCUUAGAUAUGACACAGAACACCGAUUGCGAAGGCAGCUUGCUAGGCUGUAACUGACGCUGAGGCACGAAAGCGUGGGGAGCAAACA
rnacentral:rRNA from 1 species